ACUACUCAGGAAAAAAAGAACCA
rnacentral:piRNA from 1 species